AGCAGCAGCCGCGGUAACACGAAGGGGGCUAGCGUUGUUCGGAAUUACUGGGCGUAAAGCGCACGUAGGCGGAUAUUUAAGUCAGGGGUGAAAUCCCAGAGCUCAACUCUGGAACUGCCUUUGAUACUGGGUAUCUUGAGUAUGGAAGAGGUGAGUGGAAUUCCGAGUGUAGAGGUGAAAUUCGUAGAUAUUCGGAGGAACACCAGUGGCGAAGGCGGCUCACUGGUCCAUUACUGACGCUGAGGUGCGAAAGCGUGGGGAGCAAACAGGAUUAGAUACCCGCGUAGUCCCUGUCUCUUAUAC
rnacentral:rRNA from 1 species